rnacentral:lncRNA from 1 species
CAACUUCUGGACUCAGAUACUUAAGGUAUGGUUUUAAACGAUGUCCAUUGACUUGAAAGGACCUACCAUCCUUGGUAUUGCAUAUUACUAUUGCACCAUGCGGAUGCACUUUCUCUACCAUGUAUGGGCCAGUCCAGCGAGAUUUAAGUUUUUCAGGAAAUAGAUGUAAUCGAGAGUCUUAUAGAAGGAUUUUUUGUCCUUGGUGAAAUUCCAUACGAAUGAUCAUUUUAUCAUGCAUGAUCUUCAUGCGAUCUUUGUACUUCUUGGCACACUCGUAAGCAUCGUUUAUAAUUUCUUCAAGCUCAUCGAGUUGAAGCUUCCUAUGUUCUCCCGCUUUGUCAAGAUCGAAAUUUAAAUUUUUAAUCGCCCAAUAGGCCCUGUGCUCUAACUCGAUAGGUAAAUGGCAGGCCUUGCCAUAGA